rnacentral:rRNA from 1 species
CCUACGGGUGGCAGCAGUGAGGACUAUUGGUCAAUGGACGAGAGUCUGAACCAGCCAAGUAGCGUGAAGGAUGACUGCCCUAUGGGUUGUAAACUUCUUUUAUAUGGGAAUAAAACGUUCCACGUGUGGGAUUUUGUAUGUACCAUAUGAAUAAGGAUCGGCUAACUCCGGGCCAGCAGCCGCGGUAAUACGGAGGAUCCGAGCGUUAUCCGGAUUUAUUGGGUUUAAAGGGAGCGUAUGUGGAUUGUUAAGUCAGUUGUGAAAGUUUGCGGCUCAACCGUAAAAUUGCAGUUGAAACUGGCAGUCUUGAGUACAGUAGAGGUGGGCGGAAUUCGUGGUGUAGCGGUGAAAUGCUUAGAUAUCACGAAGAACUCCGAUUGCGAAGGCAGUUCACUGGACUGCAACUGACACUGAGGCUCGAAAGUGUGGGUAUCAAACAGGAUUAGAUACCCCGGUAGUC